UAGGUUGCUGAAAUUUCCAGUAAACAACCAGUAUACCAAAUGCAAACUGCUCAGUUCCAAGCAAGCUUUGCAUUGGCCCAUGGACAAGUCUGCUUCCUAACUUUUGCCCAUGGAGAGCUUAAGAAACAGUUUGCUAGUAGCACAUGGAUCCACUCUAUAGAAUCAGGGCCUCCUGUACCCUACCCACUGGAAGCAUUAGAUGUUUGCCUCUUCUUCAAUUCCUGAUUCUGUCUUGCAGGCUGUCAUAUCAAGCCCUUGUAAGUAGGAGCUGUGGCAUUCAUCUUGAACCCUUGUUGACCAGAAGGGAUUUACCUAUCAUAGUACCUCUUGGGUUCCUGUUUGGAUUGCAAAGACUCUCAAAUGGUAUAGUAACUCAACAGAAAGCAAUUCCUGAAUCUCCCUACUGGACCAUUUUCUAUUGUCCUUACAGGAAUAAUGGAGAUGACACAGGUGAUCAGGGGUGACCAUCGCUACUAUCCCAAAUAUCAAGUGGCAUUCGAGGUGUGUUUUCGCCACACACUUUCACAAGUUCAUCUCGGGUGCAGCCCCCUACUUAAAAGCAAACAGAUUAAGAACACCCUUGUUAUGUGGCUCACAACCACCUACGACUCCAGCUUUAGGAAGGUCCAACACCUCUGGCCUCUGUGGCUCACAGGUUCAUGCUGAUAUCCCAGCACAUGCGCAGAGAGAUACAUAAUCAAAAAUAAUAAAGCUUCAUUCGAAUUUUGCUUUGGGAAGCUGGUAAACUGGAACUAGAUGUGAAUCUAAACAUCUGGAAUGACCUUCAUGGGAGGAUGGAAAGUUAUAAUGCUCCGUUCUACAUAUCAAUGAAAUCUAUCAAGAGAUGGCUGGUUGAAGGAGAUAUUCCCAGCAGAAGCACCACACUGAGACUACGGGAUGCUGAGAAGAACAUCUUAAUGGUCCAUGGUCUACAUUUUCCUCUCACCCCAGGAAGAGUUUGGCAUUUCCUCUACGUUAAGCUUCAUGUCUUCCGCUAUGACUUUUAUGCCUGGGAUACCCCAGAAGCUUUAAGAGGGGCAGAAAACACAACAGGAGCAACUUAAAGGAGAUGGGUUUUCUAGCCUCAGAGUUCAGACUGAACAGGGCUUCUUGACAAGGAAAGCAGAUAGCGUGUUCCUGUCCACGGCAACAGAAGUCUAAGUCAGAUUUGUGCUCGGCGAGAUUUGCGUGAGAAGAAACUUGAGCUUUAGAAGCUGAGGAGACGCUUCAGUUGGUAAAGUGCUUGCUACAUCAGCAAGCACAGGGACCUGAGUUCAAUUCCAGAGCUGGAGAGGUGAAGACAGGUGGAUUCCUGGGGCUUGGGGACCGGCUAGACUAGUUGUGUUGGUGACCUGCAAGUCGAACAUCUUUGUCUUCAAAGAUAACAUGGACAACACCUGAGAAUGAUACUUGGGUUUGA
rnacentral:sRNA from 1 species